rnacentral:rRNA from 1 species
AUUGAACGCUGGCGGCAGGCUUUACACAUGCAAGUCGAGCGGUAGCAGGCCUUUGGGUCCUGGCUUCAGCGGCGGGCGGGAGUAUUAUGCCUAGGCAUCUGCCUGGUAGUGGGAGAUAACGUCGAAAACCGGGCGCUAAUACCGCAUACGUCGUGGGGGAGAACGGGGGGGCUCUUAGGACUUCUCGCUCUCGGACCUUUCUAGGUCGGAUUAGCUAGUUGGUGGGGUAAAGGCCUACCAAGGCGACGAUCCGUAGCUGGUCUGAGAGGAUGAUCAGUCACACUGGAACUGAGACACGGUCCAGACUCCUACGGGAGGCAGCAGUGGGGAAUAUUGGACAAUGGGCGCAAGCCUGAUCCAGCCAUGCCGCGUGUGUGAAGAAGGUCUUCGGAUUGUAAAGCGCUUUAAGUUGGGAGGAAGGGCAGUAAGUUAAUACCGUGCUGUUUUGACGGUACCAGCAGAAUAAGCACCGGCUAACUACGUG